GUCGGUGGUUGUGGCGGAGGGGGUACGCCCGGUCCCAUUCCGAACCCGGAAGCUAAGCCCUCCAGCGCCGAUGGUACUGCACUCGUCAGGGUGUGGGAGAGUAGGUCGCCGCCGACA
rnacentral:rRNA from 1 species